AAAGCAGCAAUUCUGGCAGCAGCUGCAGUUGAAAUAAGAACAAAACCAAGCCAGCCUAAAGAGUGUUUAUUUUCACCAGUUGCUGGACUUUCUUGAAGUUCUCUGCCUUAACUGUGACUAUCACCGUUGGAUAGAGAUCUUCUGUCAUGAUAUCAGUGUGCAUAUUCCUCAUCAUAUCUCUCCUAAAAUUCUAAGUUACGCACACAAUCAAAAUAUCUACAACUAUGGCGAAACCAAGAAACACAAGCAGAUCCACAGUCACUUUAAUCUGGUCUUCUCAUCUGUGCUUUUCGGAGUUACAAGAGACUAGGUGGACAAUCUAAGGGAACUAAAUUAACAUGGAUUCCAGCACAGUGUGCUCAACAACCGGGAUCACUAGAUUGUGGCUACUACGUCAUGCGUUUUAUGUACGACAUAAUAAUGAAUCAUGGUAAUAGUCAAGAUCUUACUAAGGAUUUUUCAAGAACAUUGCCUUAUUCACCGGAGGAGAUUAAUGAGGUGAAAGAUUUUUGGGCAGAUUACUUCAUGAACAAUGUCGAAUUUUUAGCUUAAUUUGUAAUAUGAACUUGAUCUCUAGCUAGCUACGUACCUUUGUUGUAAUAAUUUUAUGUUUGUUGUAACAUGUUGGUUGAUCUAUGACGAAUUUAAUUGCCUUUUAUUGGGAACGUUAAUUACGUUGUAAACUUUUGUGACAGGUAUUAUUUAUAAAUGUAUUCCCGGUAUUGGGAAUGAAGCGUCUA